rnacentral:lncRNA from 1 species
CCAAUUUAAAAGUGUGUGUAUGUGUGUGUGUGUGUGUGUAUAUAUAUAUAUUAAUUAGAAAAAUUGUGUACAUAUAUAUAUAUAUAUAUAUGUAUGUGUGUAUGAGGAAGGCUGUCUUGGUUCACACGGGAGAUAUAAAUAGCAGAAACCAGGAGGAGGAGUUUCUCCACGCAUAAAAAUCCAACUGCUUAGCAAAACUAUAAAAUUAAAAUUGAAAUUAGAGAGACAGAGAGAGAGAGAUGGGGUGCAGGACGGUUUUGCGUUCGGUGUUCUUGACUGAGACAUGGAGGCCCUUGAAUGCGAACGUUGGCCUCUCUUCGUCUUCUUCUUCCUUUUCUUCUCGUUCAUUGAGGCGCUUAGGUACUUGUUCGGAGCAGGACAAGCUUAGAUAUCGAUGUUGUGAGGCGAUUAGGGCUCGAAAUUUCCAUUCCGCAAAAUCCACUCAGCUUAAUUGCUCUUACAAGGAUAAUCCAUCACCUUCCUCUGCGGAUGACCACGAUCAAGGACCUCCUCAAGAAGCUGUUCUAAAAGCCAUUUCAGGUUUCUCUCCCGCUUUCUUCUUUUAAUUAACUAGUUGUCGUGUAAAUUUUUGGUGUCAUCAUGUCUUUGAUUUUGAGCAAAAAAUUCACUUAUUGUAGUUCGGUUUUGAUUGGUAAGAACAUGUUUAAGUUGGUGAUACUAAAGAGACAUCUAUGCGACAAAUUUCUGUGCGCUGGGUUUAUUUCGUACUAUGUGGAGGUUCUGCUAGUCAAUGAUACUUGGAAAAGCCUUGAUUCUAUAUUUUGGAUAUGCUGAUGCAACUACAUAAACAUCAACUCUGAGGUUUUUAAUCUAUAAAUUUGGAGGAGCAUUUACAUCUCAUUAUGGUGGUAUAUGAAAUGAAAGAGCAUGGAGUUGCGUUUUCUUAAUUAUUUUUAAUGCCAAGCCACAUUCAACAUCAGUUUUUUAUGUUGUAAAAUCUCGGUUUAACCGAUACUAUACUAGUAUUUUUAGGUAAGCCCCCAAACUCUUCAAAUAUUGAACUUUAGCUAUAUAAAAUAGGCCAAUUUACACCUUGGAUUUUUGGGUUUAGUUUUUGGCUAUUAUUGUGACCUUAUUCAGAUUUCUGUUGUUACUAGGUCUUUCCAUUCAUAGACCAGUAUGUUUUUUAGAGUAAGAAAUUUCUAUUUCUGUUAACUCCUUAUAUUCUUGUUUCCGUGAUAUUUCUUCAUGCAGUAUCAAGGUUUUGUCUUGAUUUUCUGUAUUUUUGUUGUUUUUACUUAAUUCACAGCUCAUAUUGGAAAAUUUUUGUAAUUCAUACAUCACGUGCAUUUCAUGAAAAACCAGUUAAAUUAUCUUCCGUUAAUGGAGUAGAUUUAGUUAUAUAAAAGAUAAACGUUUUUCAAAUAAUUAAGAAGUUGUAUAUUUCAAGAUUUUGUAUAUGCUAAUUGUAAUUUUCUUCAAAAUCUGAAGGCUCCAAUCUAUAAAAUAAAUUUGUGUCAAUUAGAAAAUUAAAAGUGUAAAGACCUAGAACUUAAGAAAAUGGAAAUAUCGAAUUGUAUCAACUAUAAGCGAAAACAAUUUAAAAUUUAAAGUUAACAUUUCUUACAUAGUAAAUCAGGAUAUCUAAUAGAAUUACGAGAAUGUUUCUUUAUAGAAGUGUAAAGUAACGGAAUAAAUAAUUAAAACAAAACGAAAUAAAAAUUUUAUGGGGUUAACCUCCACUUGACAACUCCGAUGGGUUCCGAGAGGUAACUUUUGUUCGCAACCCUCCUACUGUUCAGGAUUUAAAUCUUGAUUUUCUUGAUUUGAAAUGAUUAAAUAGGAGAAUGAGUUACGCUAAUUCAGUAAAAAUAUCACAUUUAAUACUGAGACGAAAAACUGAAGGUUGGUAAAAAAUUAUAAAAUAACCAAUGGAGUCAUUUGCUUUUGUAAAUAAAUUCAUUUAAUAUAAAAAACAUAAGUUUCAUAUUUACCCUUAUGAGUUCCCAAAAUCAGCUUUUGAAGUCAAUAACCCAAAUUGUAUUUUGAUUUUAUAUUCAAAUGAGUAAUAAGAAUAAACUUACCUACUUACUAGUACUUCUGGGAGUUCAUAGGGAUAUCCCCCUUAUACGUGAACUCAAUAUUCAAUGUCUCGAUUAACCUACUGUCCUCAUAUCCCGUCCGGUAAUGGGCGCCAAACAUACCACUCCCUUAAUACCCUAUCUAGUAUGAUAGUGAAUUCUACCUCCCAAUUCCUUCCAGUGUGGGACUUCUUAGUCCCAUUUAAUUGAGAUAAUGUUCACGGUUGGGUUUUCCAUAUGUAUCGGGU